UACGUAGGUGACCAGCGUUGUCCGGAUUUACUGGGCGUAAAGAGCGCGCAGGCGGUCGUUCAAGUCGAGUGUGAAAGCCCCCGGCUCAACUGGGGAGGGUCAUUCGAUACUGAUCGACUCGAAGGCAGGAGAGGGAAGCGGAAUUCCCGGUGUAGUGGUGAAAUGCGUAGAUAUCGAGAGGAACACCGGUGGCGAAGGCGGCCUUCUGGACAGUGACUGACGCUGAGACGCGAAAGCGUGGGGAGCAAACAGG
rnacentral:rRNA from 1 species